rnacentral:lncRNA from 1 species
AGAGAGGAGCCGAUCGAUCCAGUCCGGAUUCGAGCACCGCUACGGCUGAGGUGAGGGAUGGAUCGAGUCCAUCCGUGCGCUGGGAUCAAGAGAAGGAUUCGGAUGCAACCGAUGCGCUCGAGCGUCGACGGUGUCGAGCGGAGGCAGGUGAUUCGGGUCCAGCCGAGGCGCCCUAGCGCGCAAUGGGAUCGAGUGCAGAACCGCCGGCGGCGCAAGGAUUAAGGCUGAUGGUCUUCAUCGAGUAACAGUUCAUCGUAAGUGUAACCCUACACUUUGAUUCCCCUCCCUCCUUCCUUGAAAUUGAUAGUGCUAAUCCCGGCUGUUCUUUUUGUUGUCUGUCCCUGAAUCAAGGAGGUGGCGAUGCCGAUCGAGAGAGCCUUAGUUAUGGUGUAGGCGGGCAAUUAGUACAAGGAGGCGGUGCAAACGGCUCAAGGAUACAAAGGUGGAUGCGCAGGAUGAAGCCACGGUGUCUCGCUGGUGCAAGAGGAGGAGGCGGGGGCGACCACUACACUAGCAACCUCGUCGGCGCAAGAGUAACAGUACACAUCGAAAAGGUAAAUACUAACCCUGUCUCUUCACGUCUUUAUCUCUUAGCCAUGUAUCCCUUUCUAAUUCAGUUCCCUCCUUUUCAUCUUUUUCAGCGCCUAGGUAGGACGGUAAUGUCGAGGAUGCAAGGAGGAAGAGGAUAUGUGUGCCGCUCUUUCUUACCAUGACUGUAUUCUUGGUUGAUUUACAUAUAUGUAUGUGCUCGUAUUUCCGCUGGUGAAAGCAAUAGUGUGAAGGCAAACUAUUUUACACUAUUCACUUAUAAUGAAACUCUUUGCCGAUAUCAUGUAAAGACGUUUUUCAUGACAAAUUUAUCAUAUUGUAUGAUUUUAUUUUUUAUCAUCACAACUAUAAUUUGUUUGUACUAUAUCUUACAGGUAUUUAUACAUCCUAAACCUACUUCAUCUGGCAUCAAUUGUCAUGAUACAAUUUGCAAGGCUGUAUGGGCAAUCAUGUUUAGGUGGGCGUCUUCCUGCAUAUGAUGGAAAUAAAAGCUUAUAUACAUCUUGUCCAUUUCCAUUUACUUAUGAGGCUUUUGAAUUAGUACUACUUGAUCAGGAAGACAGUCUUCAUGGUGGGCAAGUCAGAGAUGUAUGAUAUUCUGGGCAUAUCAAUAACCCUGUUCUAAUUAAUUGCUUACUGAUGUUGAUGCUCUCUGAAGGCGUGAGAUAAAAUUUUGGACCAUGAUAACAUUGGAUAAAGUUUUGUCGGGACGAAUUGAUAGUGAAGAAAUCUCUCAAGCAGUUAACACUGAACGUUCUUUCCAAAAACCAAAUUAAUCUCUUCU